UUAAUUGAAGCCAAAAUAGAGGCAUAUUAUUGUUAAUAAUAAGAAUGGUUAUAAAUUCCCAAUUAAA
rnacentral:tRNA from 1 species